ensembl:snRNA U6 U6 spliceosomal RNA
GUGCUCGCUUUGGAAGCACAUAUACUAAAAUUGGAACAAUACAGAGAAGAUUAGCAAGACCACUGGCUAAAAGGCUAUGAAGGGAGGCAAAGAAGCCCCAUCCAGGUUC